rnacentral:rRNA from 1 species
UAGAGGGGUGCUCGAAAGAGAGCCGUAACACAGGUGCUGCAUGGCUGUCGUCAGCUCGUGUCGUGAGAUGUUGGGUUAAGUCCCGCAACGAGCGCAACCCUUGUCAUUAGUUGCUACAUUCAGUUGGGCACUCUAAUGAGACUGCCGGUGACAAGCCGGAGGAAGGUGGGGAUGACGUCAAGUCCUCAUGGCCCUUAUAGGUGGGGCUACACACGUCAUACAAUGGCUGGUACAAAGGGUUGCCAACCCGCGAGGGGGAGCCAAUCCCAUAAAGCCAGUCGUAGUCCGGAUCGUAGUCUGCAACUCGACUACGUGAAGUCGGAAUCGCUAGUAAUCGUGGAUCAGAAUGUCACGGUGAAUACGUUCCCGGGUCUU